GUGGAUAACCUACCCCUUGGUGGUGGAUAACCUUCCGAAAGGAGGGCUAAUACAGCGUAAGACCACGACUUCGAAAGAGGUUGAAGGUAAAAAGUGGGCCUCUGUACACAAGCUCACGCCAGGGGGAUGGGUCCGCGGCCCAUCAGCUAGUUGGUAGGGUAACGGCCUACCAAGGCGAAGACGGGUAGCUGGUCUGAGAGGAUGAUCAGCCACACUGGAACUGAGACACCGGUCCAGACUCCGUACGGGGAGGCAGCAGGUGGGGAAUUCUUGCGCAAUGGACGAAAGUCUGACGCAGCGACGCCGCGUGAGCGAUGAAGGGCCUUCGGGUUGUAAAGCUCUGUGGAGAGGGACGAAUAAGUGUCGUCGAAUAGACGGCAUGAUGACGGUACCUUUUUAGCAAGCACCGGCUAACUCCGUG
rnacentral:rRNA from 1 species